CAAACUGUAAAACGCACGCAAAGUGGCCUACGGCGCUUCCAAACGUACCGAUUCCUCCUCUUUCUCCAUCCCCGUCGGCAUCUGCGGCACUGUCCGGUUGAUGGAGGCGUAUUCGUGCAGGUCCGGGUGUGGUCAUCUGUGGCAACCACUUCAGAACCUCCAGAACUUGCUGAUGAAAUGUAAUGUAACAUCUACGCCAGCUGUGACACAGAUGGAUGGCCCUGAAGAACAUAAAAUGGUUCAGUACAGGUCUGUAUUCUGUCCAUGUUUUCUGGUGGUUUACACGGGUCUAAUAAUGCUCUGAAAUUGUGUGACAGACAUUUCAGGGGUCAGAUGGAGUGUGAGUGGAGUGAUGGUUCAUAGUGUGUGAGAAGGAAAAGCGAUUGGAGAAAGAAGAGAGAGUGAUUGAGGAGAAUGAGAAUGAUUUCACCGUGUUACUGGGUUAUCAUGGUGGACCAUCUUGAAGAGAAUCCAAUCAUCAUGUGCAGUGUUUCUCCAUUUCUCUUCAAACACUGACACAAAAGCACUGAGACCAUUACAGAGAAAACACACACCUGCUGUGUGAUGGUGUCAAACACCAGUCUGUCAGAGUCUUGUUCACAAUGUUUUCCGACUGCAAAAUAACAAGAAUUAUGUCUGU